GAUGAACGCUAGCGACAGGCUUAACACAUGCAAGUCGAACGGAGAACUCCUUCGGGGGUUCUUAGUGGCGAACGGGUGAGUAACGCGUAGGCAACCUGCCCUUUGGAUGGGGACAACAUUCCGAAAGGAGUGCUAAUACCGAAUGUGACGAUUUUACCGCAUGGUUUAAUCGUGAAAGAUGGCCUCUACAUGUAAGCUAUCGCCAAAGGAUGGGCCUGCGUCUGAUUAGCUAGUUGGUGGGGUAACGGCUCACCAAGGCGACGAUCAGUAGCCGGUCUGAGAGGAUGAACGGCCACAUUGGGACUGAGACACGGCCCAG
rnacentral:rRNA from 1 species